rnacentral:rRNA from 1 species
ACACGGAGGGUGCAAGCGUUGUUCGGAAUCACUGGGCGUAAAGCGCGCGUAGGCGGCUGUGUAAGUCAUCUGUGAAAACUCGGGGCUCAACCCCGAGACUGCAGGUGAGACUGCAUGGCUAGAGCCCGGUAGAGGCAAGUGGAAUUCCCGGUGUAGCGGUGGAAUGCGUGGAUAUCGGGAAGAACACCAGUGGCGAAGGCGGCUUGCUGGGCCGAUGCUGACGCUGAGGCGCGAAAGCGUGGGGAGCAAACAGGAUUAGAUACCCCAGUAGUCC